rnacentral:pre_miRNA from 1 species
UGCUGCAGCUGGUGUUGUGAUCAGGCCGACGAGCAGCGCAUCCUCUUACCCGCUAUUUCACGACACCAGGGUUGCA